AUUCCAUGAUGAGGGCAUCUUCGUAAUAGUUCUUUAAGUCUUUCCCACUCCUCAUCUAAGGAUUUGUCAUCCAUCUGUUGGAAGGUAGUGAUCUCAUUCCGCAACU
rnacentral:snoRNA from 1 species